rnacentral:rRNA from 1 species
CAGUCAUGCUAGUGAGGGAUCAACCUGAUGGCGUGUGGGUUUUCCCUCGUACUUUCAGGUGCACUUUCUCACCCGGCAGGUUAGCAUCAAUUUCGGUUAUCAUAAAAAAUUUGAGGGAAUGUGACUUUUCUUCGGAAAAGUGUUAUAGACCUUGAUCUAUGUGGUGACCGGGAUUGAGGAUUGCAGCGGAUACCUUGUGGCUGGUUACCCUCGCUUCUG